UGACCUCGGAUCAGGUAGGGAUACCCGCUGAACUUAAGCAUAUCAAUAGCCCGGAGGAAA
rnacentral:rRNA from 1 species